rnacentral:pre_miRNA from 1 species
AUGGGAAUCACCUGGGGAUCUUGUUAAAAUGUAGAUUCUGAUUCGGUAGCCCUGGGGUGGAACCUCAGAGUCUGCAUUUCUAACAAGCUCCCAAGUGAAGCUCGU